AAGUAUGGUCAAACUUCCUCCCAAUCUCAUCUGAUCUCUGGAGCUAAGCAGGAUUGGGCCUGGUUAGGACUUGGAUGGGAGACUGCUGGGAAUACCAGGUGCCACAUGUC
rnacentral:rRNA from 1 species